ensembl:lncRNA
CCUUCCUGUGGUACUCAGCUGUUUUUCCUUUUUCACAUUCAUCCUUGAAGUUCUCUUCACUGUGGGAUGAGGUGAUGGAAAAGUCUACAUCCAGGCAGCCUUAUGGAAAGUUAGUAACUGUUCGGUGUUUAAGAUAAACUUGUUAAAAAGGCUUUUGCUUACAGUAUGCAAGUUGUUUUAGAGACUAAAAAAAAAAUCUUCAGGUACACUGAAUGGGAGUUAGGGAUACUUUCUGCUUAUUGUCUUCAUUUUUGUGGAGUUUUUUAAAUUGAUGUUGAAGGUUUGAGGUUAAAAUUUACUUUCGUUGAAAUUUUCUUUUGAGAUUGUGUUUUCCAUUAUUCCAGAAGAAAAGAUUGCUCUAUCAGAGUGAGGUAGUAGAUUGUAUAGUUGUGGGGUAGUGAUUUUACCCUGGUCAGGAGAUAACUAUACAAUCUAUUGCCUUCCCUGAGGAGUAGACUUGCUGCAUUAUUUUGAUUUUUAUCUAGGUGAUAAUUAAAAUUCAGAUGAAUUCAUUUUGACAUUCUUUUGUGUUUACAGUUAUUAGUUGUUAAGUUUCUCUCCAAGUAGAAUGCAGUAAAAACUGAUCUUAAGUUUUAAUUUUCACAUGUGGUGUAUAUAUAUAUUUCAGAAAUUUGAAAAUUAAAGCAAAAAUUUUGGAGAAAGUAAGUACCUUUCAGGAAAUAUUAGUAGAAGACUAGGCCCUUUUGGAAUUAUGAACCGGUGCACUGCCAUAUAUUCUGAUAGCACAUGUCCAGGGUGACAUCUUGGGUAGUAAAGGUACAUACCAACUGGAAGGUCACUGUUUCAGCUAAAUUUGAGUCCAGUUGAUUAUCCAUUCCUACCAUGGUUUUGAGUGGUAUCAGAGAAUGCCGGAAGCACUGCUUCAUUGGUGUGCAGAUUUGGGCAGGCUUUACUUGCCAGCCUGGAGCAGGUGAGGUAAGCUGUGGGUUUUACUUUUGCUCACUGGUAAGUUGCUAAGAAAACUUAAAAGUGGUCCUUCACAAAGGAGGAUCCCCUGAAACUAACACAUGAAAUGCAUUAUCUAUUCCUUUAAAUAUGAGAUGAGUCUACUUAAAUUUUAGCAACCAUGAAGGCCCGUGUUUCAGCUUUCUUUCAGUGCUCAAACCAUAUAGACGCUAUAGCUAAACAAGGGCGAAAGCUCCCUAUUUAAAGUGCUUGUUUAAACUACAUAUUUUGGAUGCAAGAGAAAAGAGGCAAAAUGUGGAGGUAAAGGAAAAGUCACCUCUUCCAUUUAUUUCUGAAUCUUAAAUAUCUCAGAGUCACAGUGUAAUGCCAUUGGCAGCAGAAAUUUUACAGAAAACACAAAACUCGCUUGGAUAGGUCUAACUUAGAUUAUUUAUCCUGGGCCAGAUUUUUUUUUUUUUUUACUUCAACCUUGACAUAAUAGAGGAAGAAUUGGUGGUCCUAAAUUGGAUGUAUAAACACUGGGGAAAACUUGACAUUCAUUGUCUUUUGGUGUGAAAGAAGAACAGAAAUGUGUGGGGAAUUCUUUGGCAGUAUGCAUAACUCACCUGAAAAGUCUUGGUAUUUUGUGUUUUUCUGAACAUGUCUCCUAAACAUGGUUAUUUUCUACUCUCCACUAGGAAACUUAUAUGGAAAAAGUUUAUUUCGGACUGGGGAUUUAGCCCAGUGGUUCACGUCGCCUGCCUUGCA